GGGUAUAGCUCAGUUGGUAGAGCAUUGGUCUCCAAAACCAAGUGUCGAGCGUUCGAAUCGUUCUGC
rnacentral:tRNA from 1 species